rnacentral:lncRNA from 1 species
UCCUGGGUCAUAUGGGUAUAAUUGUCAUCUGUAAGGGUAAAGAUGGAUUUUUACUUCUUUAUUUGCUCUCACGUGUUACAGGUCAUGUGACCUGUGGGGUUAUGUAACAGAUCACAGGGAUAACAUUUUCUUUGUACGAUUCAUUACACCUUGAAUGAAAAGCAAAACAGUUUUCUUCUUCCUUCUUUUCAUGGUAUCAGAGCGGGUUAGGGUUUACACUCUUUCUUGUCCUCUCUCCUAGAAUCCGGUCGUCCUUCUUCAAAACAACACCUCUUCACACAAGAUCCGGUUUAUACGCCAGACAAAUACCGUCGCCGAUCUCACACCGACUUUGGGUUGCAUGGGAAGCAAAUCUAGUUGAAAUUCCUCUCUUCUUUCAAAACGGCCACAAAUUUUUCAGAUCUAAAGUUUGUGCAUCAAGAUCUGUACCUAAAAUCAACAGAUCCUAUCGAUGAUGGGGGAACGAGGAAACAACAGUAAAGAAGGCAAAAACAC